CUAAGUUCAAUUACCAGCUGCCCUUUAUCAUUGAACUUAAUGCUUUCUUCUCAUAGUAGAAUUAAGAGGAAAGUAAAAUAUUUUUUGUACCUAUAUCUUUAUUAUAUUUAGACAAAUCACAGAGUGAGAGAGUAGGGGUUUCAAGAACAAUAGGAGAGAGACAGGGAAGAGAGAAAGAACUGCUUGUGGAAAUACAGAAUAUCCCACAUUUUCAAUGUGGAAAGUGUAUGAGGGUCUGAAAGAAAAUACUCAGUUUUUUUUGUCCUGUAAGAGGCAGCAUUGACAAAUGUGUACCAGAGUUUGGGUACAUUUGAGCCAGUUCUUCAGAAUCGUGGGGUGGGAAAUAGAACAAAAUUAUUUACACCUAAUUCUAGGCAGAUAAGUGUGCUUCAAGGAAAGGCAAGGGCCUGGCUAGAUUCUAGAUGUUUUUAAACUGGAGGCCAGAGACAGCUUUAGGGAGUCUAUAUACAGGCACAAAUUUAUUUCUUUUAUAUUCUUCUUGCUCUUUGAAAACGGUCUUUAUGCAAAUACACACUAUAUAACCAAAGUUUCUCUUUGUUCCAGGCAGGAGUAGGGCUGAUUGGAGCCAUUGUACAGUGUCGGGAACAUACCAGGACACUGAGAAUAGUGUCAUGUCAUAAGGACCCAGAGCAGAUGGACCCUGCUGUGAUGCACAAAGAGGACCACGCAAGAUAUGAUAAAGAUCUACAUCACUG
ensembl:lncRNA LERFS lncRNA negative regulator of fibroblast-like synoviocyte migration, SYNCRIP interacting